GAUGAAGAACGUAGCGAAAUGCGAUAGGUAGUGUGAAUUGCAGAAUUCAGUGAAUCAUCGAAUCUUUGAACGCACAUUGCGCCCCCCAGUAUUCUGGCGGGCAUGCCUGUUCGAGCGUCAUUUCAACCAUCAAGCCCUGCUUGUGUUGGGGUCCUGCGGCUGCCCGCAGGCCCUGAAAACCAGUGGCGGGCUCGCUAGUCACACCGAGCGCAGUAGCACAUCUCGCUCAGGGCGUGCGGCGGGCUCCAGCCGUUAAAGCACCCACCUUUCGCAAGGUUGACCUCGGAUCAGGUAGGAAUACCCGCUGAACUUAAGCAUAUCAAUAAGCGGAGG
rnacentral:misc_RNA from 1 species